rnacentral:rRNA from 1 species
GUAGGUGGCAAGCGUUGUCCGGAUUUACUGGGCGUAAAGGAUGCGUAGGCGGAUUUUUAAGUGAGAUGUGAAACACCCGGGGCUUAACUUGGGUGCUGCAUUUCGAACUGGGAAUCUAGAGUGGGGGAGAGGAGAAUGGAAUUCCUAGUGUAGCGGUGAAAUACGUAGAGAUUAGGAAGAACACCAGUGGCGAAGGCGAUUCUCUGGACCGUAACUGACGCUGAGGCAUGAAAGCGUGGGUAGCAAACAGGAUUAGAUACCCUGGUAGUCCACGCCGUAAACGAUGAGUACUAGGUGUAGGAGGUAUCGACCCCUUCUGUGCCGCAGUUAACACAAUAAGUACUCCGCCUGGGAAGUACGAUCGCAAAGAUUAA